GACGAACGCUGGCGGCGUGGAUUAGGCAUGCAAGUCGAACGGUAUCAUCCUUUCGGGGGUGAGAGAGUGGCGAACUGGUGAGUAACACGUAGGUUAUCUACCCUCAAGACGGGGACAACCCAGGGAAACUUGGGCUAAUACCGGAUGUGAGCAACUUUUUAGUUGUUUGAAAGGUGGCGUAAGCUGUCGCUUGGGGAUGAGCCUGCGUCCUAUUAGUUAGUUGGUGAGGUAACGGUUCACCUAGGCAAUGAUAGGUAGGCGGCCUUAACGGGUGGUCGCCCACACUGGGAUUGAGAUACGGCCCAGACUCCUACGGGAGGCAGCAGUCGAGAAUAGUCUACAAUGGUCGGAAGACUGAUAGUGCGACGCCGCGUGAACGAUGAAUCCCUUCGGGGUGUAAAGUUCUUUUAUAUGUGAGCAGUGCUUCUUAUAUUAACAGUAUGGGGAGAGAGAUAUUAGCAUAUGAAUAAGCAACGGCUAACUCCGUGCCAGCAGCCGACGGUAAU
rnacentral:rRNA from 1 species